CCCUUAGACGUUCUGGGCCGCACGCGCGCUACACUGACGAAGGCAACGAGCUUUCCUUUACCGAAAGGUACGGGUAAUCUUUUGAAACUUCGUCGUGCUGGGGAUAGAUCCUUGCAUUUUUUGAUCUUAAACGAGGAAUGCCUAGUAAGCGCAAGUCAUCAACUUGCGUUGAUUACGUCCCUGCCCUUUGUACACACCGCCCGUCGCUACUACCGAUUGAAUGGUUUAGUGAGGCCUUCGGAUCCGCGACUCGUUUGUGGAGAAGUUGGACAAACUCAGUCAUUUAGAGGAAGUAAAAGUCGUAACA
rnacentral:rRNA from 1 species